rnacentral:rRNA from 1 species
CCAAUAGCGUAUAUUAAAGUUGUUGCAGUUAAAAAGCUCGUAGUUGAAUUUCGGGGUUCUACCGUUGGUCGGGCUUUGUCUGUACUGGCGUGUAGAAUUUCUACCUUCUGGGGAACUAUCAUGUUAUUAAUUUAGCGUGGUAGGAAACCAGGACCUUUACCUUGAAAAAAUUAGAGUGUUCAAAGCAGGCUUAUGUCUGAAUACAUUAGCAUGGAAUAAUAAAAUAGGACGGUGGUCCUGUUUUGUUGGUUUCUGAAUCACCGUAAUGAUUAAUAGGGAUAGUUGGGGGCAUUAGUAUUCAAUUGUCAGAGGUGAAAUUCUUGGAUUUAUUGAAGACUAACUACUGCGAAAGCAUUUGCCAAGGAUGUUUUCAUUAAUCAAGAACGAAAGUUAGGGGGUCGAAGACGAUCAGAUACCGUCGUAGUCUUAACCAUAAACUAUGCCGACUAGGGAUCGGACGAUGUUAACUUUUCUUGACUCGUUCGGCGCCUUACG